ensembl:lncRNA
ACUGUUACAUAUUGGCCGUCCCCUGUUCGUCCCACUGGAACCUCGGCCCAGUCGGCCGGGCAGGACGUCGUCCCAGCUCUCGACUCCCGUCCGAGUAGGAACGCUCCCGGGGCAAGGUCGGGGGAUGGGGCCGCCCCCUGCGCAACUCCUCCAAGAGGGUUCUAGACAAUUCCGUCAUUUGCUCUCGAACGUCCUUCAUAAGCUCCGUCCGUAAGGUCUGCUUCCAGUCGGAGACUUCCGAAGGUGUAGGGGGUACAAAUCUCGCUAGUGGCCAUACACACGGAAGGAUCAACCGUCUCUGCAUGAUCCAGUUCCAGGGCCAAGGCCUCUCGCCGCAGACCUUCAAACGUCAGCCCAGGAUCCCGGCGAAGCUGUAAGCGUAGACUCUGCCGGAUGGGUCCCUCACGGAGUCCCAGGAGGAACUGAUCCCGCAACAAGGUCUCUUCUUCCCCUAGGCCAUGAUCACGUCGCCCCUUCAACCUAGCAAACUGCUCCCGUAGUCGUAAGGCGAAGGCCCGCAGAGUCUGCCUGGGUCCUUGUUUACAAUUAAAGAACUGAGCUCUCAGGACAGCCACCGGGGUGGCGUCACCAUACUGCCCGACCAGGAAAUCAAAGAUUGCUUGGGCGGUGCCUCGGGUUGCUUCGGGCGCGGCUUGUACUUCCCUCUUGGCCUCGCCUUCAAGUGAAUUCAGCACGAACUGGGUCUUCUGCGAGGCACUCAGCCCCUGUAGUCCCGCCAGGUACUCUACCUGAGCCUUCCACUCCGUCAAACUCAAUUCUGAUCCUGGUCCUCCAUACUUCUGGGCCCAAGGGGCACCCACAAAAACAACAGGCAUAACAGGAGGCCGGACUACCGGCAAAUCUUCGUCCCGCCAUCAUGGGCCUCUGGUCGCUCAACUCAAGGUGGAAAACCCUGCCGACUACGCCAAGUUGUCACGGGCCGGAACGAGCCCCUAUUAAAUGUACCACCUCAAGGAGCUUACCCAGAGACACCACAGACAGACAACAAGCAGUGGGAGCCCUUGAUGCAACAGUCACAACCCAGCGGAUAACAGAACGGGAAGCCAACUCAAUCGUUCCUCUUCAGACAGAACUGGUAGGUAGCCUUUUUAGGCGAAGGUAAAAGGAGGGGGGUCCCUCAGUAAGUCUUCCUCGACACAGACGACAAAGGAUCGGACAGAUGGGGCUACGAGAUCUCCACUCAGCAGUCCCUUGCUAACACAGUCGAUGGUGGGUAUAGUGAUUCCUCUUCAGAACAGCCAAUGGUCAACACCUGCAUAAACAAUGUCAAGGAAUUCUCACAGCAGUUCCUCUCCAAGACAGUGAAUGAUACGUAUAUGUACAAGCGAUAGUAAGGGUCGAGCACACAACAGUUCCUCUUCGAACAGGCACGGCAGGUGUUCGUACAGACAAUGGUAAAAGGAUCUUCUCCUAGCGGCUUCUCUUCAAAGCAGACAAUGGCAGGCAAUGAAACAACUUAUAGUAAGUGACGUUCACAUGGCAGAUUAUCU